rnacentral:rRNA from 1 species
UGGGGAAUAUUGGACAAUGGGCGAAAGCCUGAUCCAGCAAUGCCGCGUGAGUGAUGAAGGCCUUAGGGUCGUAAAGCUCUUUCAGUAGUGAAGAUAAUGACAUUAACUACAGAAGAAGCCCCGGCUAACUUCGUGCCAGCAGCCGCGGUAAGACGAAGGGGGCUAGCGUUGUUCGGAAUUACUGGGCGUAAAGAGCGUGUAGGCGGUUUAGUAAGUUGAGAGUAAAAGCCCAGGGCUUAACCUUGGAAUCGCUCUCAAAACUAUUAGACUAGAGUGCGUUAGGGGAUGAUGGAAUUCCUAGUGUAGAGGUGAAAUUCUUAGAUAUUAGGAGGAACGCCAAAGGCGAAAGCAGUCAUCUGGGUCGCUACUGACGCUGAGACGCGAAAGCGUGGGGAGCAAACAGG